rnacentral:rRNA from 1 species
AUUGAACGCUGGCGGCAUGCUUUACACAUGCAAGUCGGACGGCAGCACAGAGGAGCUUGCUUCUUGGGUGGCGAGUGGCGAACGGGUGAGUAACGCAUCGGAACGUACCGAGUAAUGGGGGAUAACUGUCCGAAAGGACAGCUAAUACCGCAUACGCCCUGAGGGGGAAAGCGGGGGAUCUUAGGACCUCGCGUUAUUCGAGCGGCCGAUGUCUGAUUAGCUGGUUGGCGGGGUAAAGGCCCACCAAGGCGACGAUCAGUAGCGGGUCUGAGAGGAUGAUCCGCCACACUGGGACUGAGACACGGCCCAGACUCCUACGGGAGGCAGCAGUGGGGAAUUUUGGACAAUGGGCGCAAGCCUGAUCCAGCCAUGCCGCGUGUCUGAAGAAGGCCUUCGGGUUGUAAAGGACUUUUGUCAGGGAAGAAAAGGGGCAUGUUAAUACCGUGCUCU